rnacentral:lncRNA from 1 species
UUAUAUACAUAUAUUAAAAACCAACAUGCUUAUCAACAGUAAACUUUUCCGCUUUCAUAUUUUAACCACAGUAUUAUGCACAAAACGACUCUUUUCGCCCUUCUACAUUUGCAACUGUCCUUCUUGCACAAACGAAUAUACCCGACGUAGAUGGUUUCAUACAUUUCUCGCAGUCUUUUCAUCUAAGAACUUACAUUCUCGAAUCCAACUCCUCCGAUUCAUAAGGUAUUUCGACUGCAAUCUCUUUCUCUUUCAUGUUUCAUCAUCGACUUCUCCCACUCUUACUCAAUUUAUUCUCAAUUUUGACAAAACUGUUUCUUGAUAUGCAAAAUUUUCUGAUUUCUGAUUUCGUUUCCGACUCUCUGCAAUUGAUGUUUCUGCUGUCUUCUCCUCCAAGAAUUAACAGUUUUGACUCCAACUCUUCCGAUUGAUAAGGUAUAUCAAUUUCAGUCUCUUUCAUCUUCUGAUCAUCGAUUUUCCCCAAUGUUUCUGAAUUUGUUCAACUUAUCGACAAAAAAAAUUUCUUAAUGUGUACAUUUUCUGAUUUCUGAUUUCAUUCUGAAUCUCUAGAAUUGGCAUCCCCGCCGUCUUCUCCUCUAACAAUUUACUCUGUAGUGUUUAUUCUCCAAGCGAAGACCCUCUUUUGCAAUUAUCACACCUCCCCGCCCCCUCCAGUGGAAACGAUAAUAUCUCAUUCUUGCAAUUGUAGUGAAAGCGGCACCGGUGGCGAUGGUGGCUUCCACACAACCGUCUUCCGAUUGAUGCAAGAGGAUUGGUCCAUCUGUUGCUCCUGUAUUAUAGGGCUCUAUCAAUUUGGGCAACGAUUUUGAGCAAUCGGUGACGAAUUUUGUUGGAGGUCGGCAGUUUCCAUUUAAAGAUGUAAAUGCCCUGAGAAGAUUUCGAUCGUCAAGUCUAAGAAGAAAAAGAGCGUCGCCACGCUUUGCGUAAGGUCGAUUCAAUAUGUAUUUUCUGAAAUAGCUCCAUUAUAUUUCCUCUUUUGUUUCAUUCAACAACAUAAUUGUGCAAUUGACGUAAGAUGAAAUUAGGGCUUUUUGUUUUGGUUUUAUAUUAUUCAAUUUCUCAGAAGAUCAAGAAUUUGGGGAAUCAUGGACUUCCUUAUUGGUCUGAUGUGUUUAGCAGCGUUGGAAGUUUACUCCCUAUCAAUGGAGGGAAGGCUGCUCAACAGACCAAUUUAUCAUCAAUGGUUCCUCAUUUCUUCUUUUUUCUAAAGAUUGAACUGACAUUUCUUCUUUGUUCCAAAGACUGACCUAACAUUCGAGUAAUUUUCACUGCUAAUCUUUGUCUUUGAGAAGUAGUGCAUCAUCUAAACGA